GACGAACGCUGGCGGCGUGCUUAACACAUGCAAGUCGAGCGGAAAGGCCACUUCGGUGGUACUCGAGCGGCGAACGGGUGAGUAACACGUGAGUAAUCUGCCCCUGGCUUUGGGAUAGCCACCGGAAACGGUGAUUAAUACCGGAUACCACCACUUCUCGCAUGGGAUGGUGGUGGAAAGUCUUUUCGGCCAGGGAUGUGCUGGCGGCCUAUCAGCUUGAUGGUGAGGGAAUGGCUCACCAUGGCUUCGACGGGUAGCCGGCCUGAGAGGGUGACCGGUCACACUGGGACUGAGACACGGCCCAGACUCCUACGGGAGGCAGCAGUGGGGAAUAUUGGACAAUGGGCGGAAGCCUGAUCAAGCAACGCCGCGUGAGGGAUGACGUCCUUCGGGUUGUAAACCUCUUUCAGCAGGGACGAAGCGCAAGUGACGGUACCUGCAGAAGAAGCACCGGCCAACUACGUGCCAGCCGCCGCCGUAA
rnacentral:rRNA from 1 species